AAGUGUUACAGCUCUUUUAGAAUUUGUCUGGCAGGUUUUCCAGGCCUUACUGGAAACCACCCCA